UGGCCUCAAAUCAGGUAGGGCUACCCGCUGAACUUAAGCAUAUCAAUAAGCGGAGGAAAAGAAACUAACUAGGAUUCCCUUAGUAACGGCGAGUGAACCGGGAUGAGCUCAAAUUUGAAAUCUGGCGUCUUUCAGGCGUCCGAGUUGUAAUCUAUAGAGGCGUUUUCCGCGCCGGACCGCGUCCAAGUCUCUUGGAAUAGAGUAUCAAAGAGGGUGACAAUCCCGUACUUGACGCGACAACCGGUGCUCUGUGAUACGUUCUCAACGAGUCGAGUUGUUUGGGAAUGCAGCUCUAAAUGGGUGGUAAAUUCCAUCUAAGGCUAAAUAUUGGCGAGAGACCGAUAGCGAACAAGUACCGUGAGGGAAAGAUGAAAAGCACUUUGGAAAGAGAGUUAAACAGCACGUGAAAUUGUUAAAAGGGAAACGAUUGAAGUCAGUCGUGUGAAAGGUAUUCAGCCGUCUCUGGCGGUGUAUUUGCCUUUCACGGGUCAACAUCAGUUUAGUCCGGUAGAAAAAGGCUGGAGGAAGGUGGCACCCUCGGGUGUGUUAUAGCCUCCUGUCACAUGUGCCGGAUUAGACUGAGGAACGCAGCUUGCCGCAAGGCCGGGGUUCGCCCACGUACAAGCUUAGGAUGUUGACAUAAUGGCUUUAAACGACCCGUCUUGAAACACGGACCA
rnacentral:rRNA from 1 species